rnacentral:rRNA from 1 species
AUGGGAGCUGAUGGGCUUCAGAUGUUCUCUGCUCGUACUGGAAAGAAGCCGGAGUCGGAUAAAACUAAGGAGGCGAUUGCUGUUGUCACUGUUAAAGAUGGGAUGCUCACUGCACAGCAACUGGUCAACUCUUUGAGCAUGAUGUUUCAAUGGAGAUGGGAGUGGCAGGCUAAACCGCAUCUAAAAAACAAGUUUCUGGUGAAGUUUCCUUCAAUACAAAAAAUUGAUGAAAUGAAAACCUAUGGCUUCUUUGGGUUGAUUGGUAGCAGAGUCAGUAUAAAGAUAAGCAGAUGGACAAAUUCCUCGAUGGCAUCGUACAAGUUAUAUGUAUGCUGUGUGACAAUUAGCGGAGUGCCAGAAACCUUGCAGCACUACCAAGGGUUUUGUGAGGUUGGGUCUCUGAUUGGUGAGGUCCUUGAGAUCGAUAUGGAAUUGUACAGGCAAUGUGAGGUUCUUAGAGAAAAAAUAGGUGUUAUGGACCCAAGAAAAAUACCAUCAAGUGUGCCUCUUAAUGAGGGUGGCUACAUUUAUGACAUCUACUUCGAUUUGGAAGAUAUUGUGGAAGAAGGAGGUCCAAUGGAAGGGGGAAUUUUAGUGAGUAAUCCCAGAAACAUUGCCGCGAAUGUUAGUGUUGCUGAAAAAAGACCUAGAGAUAAGGCAAAUGGAGAUGAUGCAGGAUGCAGUAAAUCUCCGAGGAAUCAACUACAUGUAGAUACAAGUGCAGCUUAUGAUGAAGAUACACACAGGGAAGAAGUUAUUUCUAGCCAGUAUGAAUUUGACAUGAACUUAAUUGCUGAGAGAGAGACUAGGAAAACAUCCAACAAGUCCUCCAGUGCCUCCAUUCACUACUCAAGGAAGAUGAGAUCUGGUGUCUAUGAGGAGAUUUGGCACCCGAAAACAGAGAUCACCUGUUUAUGCACUGUAAAUUCACCAAAUUCUGCUGGCAGUACCUCAGCCCCCAAUUGGGACUACUGGCCACAGGAUGGAUUUUGGGGCGCCUUGAAUAGAAUCAGGAGGAGCACCGGCCAACCGUUUUCAAUGGAGAUCACCAUCCUGGCAUCUUGGAGCAUUCAGUUUAUGGCAGGUAUGGACCAAGACACCAAGGUACCUCGAACAAUGUCAGUGUGUUUGUUGCUCGAGGCUGAUGAGAUAGUUUAUGGUGGGUAUGGACCAAGACACCAAGUUGCUGAGCUAUUUCCUGUACCCACAAAAUUCCAUGAGGCGGAGAAGGAAAGGCAAGAAUCAGUAAAGUCUGAUCAAUCAAGAAGCCGGGGUGGUGUGGAGAUGGUGGCAGAAUUAGCUGCGGCUGCCACCCUUGUAGCCGGUGUGGCAGGUAAGAUGGUGCCUUAUCUCUUGGGUUACUUACAGAAAAAUCACAAGCUGCGGGAGGACCUAGAGAGACAAAUCGAGUCCAUCACACAUGAGUGCCAUAUGAUUUAUGCCCUUGUUGAAGAAGAUACAGUUCGUCGCCAGACGAGCGGCAACGGGACGCAUAGGCUAUGGAUCAACAAGGUGCGUGACUUGGCAUACGAGAUUGAUGACACCAUCAACCGCUUCACACAACAAAUUGGCGUCACGCUCGAGCCUGGCGCGUCGUGGAUCCAUCGGACCUUCUACCGGGUGAAGACAAGGAAAGCCCGGAAGAAGUUUGCCGUGGCAAUCCUUCGUCUGGAGAAGAAAUCAGUAGAGGUAUCCCAGCUGAAAGACAGGUACUCAGGCACCUUGCAAUCCGAGGCACCUCCGGUUACGGGGGUGCCGUACACAGCUUGCCCCGUGGGAAUGGGUGCCGCCCAAGAGGAGCUCAUGGAGCUGAUAAGAGAGACGCCGCGAGGCCAGCCCGAGGGGCUCAGAGUGAUCUCCCUUGUUGGGUUCGGUGGCAUAGGGAAGUCUCAACUUGCUAAGUAUGUGUAUGACACAAUUGAUGAGAGCGAAUAUCCAACACGGGCCUGGGUUUGUGCUACGAAGAGAGGCGCAGAGGAUGUUCUCAACGCCAUACUCCAGCAACUUGGAAUGCAUUCCACCACAAUUAGCAGUGGUGGUGGAAGCGAUGAAGGCUGCUCCUUCCAUCUCACCAAGCUCUGCGCAACCUUCAAAAAGUGCCUUGGAACCAAGAGGUUCUUAAUUGUAAUUGAUGACAUACAGUCAGAAGUUUGGGACGGUAUAGAAGAUUCUUUCCGUGUGGUUCCCAGGAUCAGGAGCAGAGUUAUUGUUACAACGUCCAUGCAUUCCAUAGCACAGAAAUGCAGCAAAGCUAGUGGUGAUGUCUACAAAAUGAGAACUCUUGGCGAGCACCACUCGGGACAACUGUUAAUCGAGAAAGCUUCCUUGGACUCAGAGAAUCCACCACCACCCAAUGAUAUUAUGCGUUGUUCUCAAGCAAUCAAGAAAUGUGAUGGUCUACCACUAGCUCUUGUUACCACUGGUCAGCUGUUGCAAAGUAGACCUAACAGGGAAAGGUGGGCAAAUUUAUGCAAAAACCUUGGCAGCUAUCUGGUGGCAGAUAGGAUAUUAGCAAGAAUGAAGUGUGUGCUCGUCCGUACCUACACCAGCCUAAGUGAGCAAGAUGUCAAGACUUGCUUGUUAUAUCUGGGUAUUUUUCCAAGUGGCCAUCCAAUCAGAAGAGGAAGCCUGACAAGGCGAUGGUUAGCUGAAGGGUUCAUCACCAAAGAAGUAAACCAUGACCAUCUCGAUGCUGCUUUUGACAAUUUCGAUGUGUUGGUUGACCAUAGUAUCAUCCAGCCUAUCGACACAACCGGCUCAGUGGUGAAGACAUGCCAAACUCAUGGUAUGAUGCUCGAGUUCAUCUUGCACAACACUGAUAAUUUUGUUAACUUGUUAGGCGAUGAGGCUACCCUACCAAGUAAUGUUCGUUGGCUUUCUCUCCAUGCUGCAAAGUCCAAGAUGGAUCCAAAUAAAUUACGUCUUGUCCGGUCUCUGACAAUCUUCGGAGAGGUGCACAAGUCCGCACUAGAAUUUUCCAAGUAUAAACUGAUACGAGUUUUGGAUCUAGAAAAGUGUGAUGAACAUUUGGAAGACAAGCAUCUGAAGGAGAUAUGCAACAACCUGUCACUGCUCAGAUACCUAAGCCUUCGUGGCGCUGCUAGAGUUACACUUCUUCCCAAAGAGAUCGAGAAGCUUCUGCAUUUGGAGACACUAGAUAGACAAGAAAUGCCACAGCUCAUUGAGCAUAUGGAGCAGCUGACAAAGGUGAAAAUAUGGUGUGAGUCGACCCCCGAUCCCAGCAUCAACAUAAGUCGUCUCUCAAAGGCAAUCAGGGGGUUUGUAGAGAGAAGCACUGAUGUGACCAGAGCUCACUCACUCUCACUGAACUUCAACGCGGGAUGGCCUCAAGACUUGUUGUGUUUCUCCCUCAAGGAAGACGAAUUCUAUUACCUUAACUCGCUCAAGCUACAAGGGAACAGCAUAUGCAGCCAGCUGCCUUUGUUUGUUACAAAUUUACGUCAUGUCGCUAAGUUGUGCCUAUCGUUCCCUGGUCAUAACUUGAGUGGUGACAUUCUUGAUGCCCUGAGAAGAGUGCAUGGUCUGGAGUACCUGAAGCUCAUUGCAACUAAACUGGACAAGCUUGUCAUCAGAGAGGGAGAACUCGAAAGCCUGGAAAGCCUAUGCAUCGUGGUGGAAGUCAUAACUGAGCUGGUAAUUGGAAAAGGAGCUCUGCAGCGCCUCGACUCGCUGCAGCUGCUGUGCAAGGAUCUCAAGGGCUUUAGCAGCAAGACGAUCCAGUCCCUGCCACUUCUUAAGGAGGUUGCUCUCCAUGAUGAACUGAGCGGACCAACAAAACAGGAGUGGACGAAAGAAGCAAAAAGGCAUCCCAGACGUCCGAAGGUCUUUUUUGAACUGAAGGAAAGUGAGCCUGCUGCAGGAACGAGCACUGUGGCGAAAGCUACUGAUUCCAUCGCUCAAGAGAUCACCUUGGAAACCCAACCAGUGGAGAAUUCUGAGAGCCCUGAAAUACCACCUAAUGACACGACGUUACCAGUAACAACGCCGUCUGGUGCCAUUUCUACAGGAGUGUGUGGAGGAUCUGAUGGUGAGUCUGCUGCAGAAAUUAUGCCAGCAGCAACAGCUACUGAUACCAUAAUCCAAGUGGUCGCUGUGGAAAGUGAACUUGUGGGGAAUUCUGAGAGCCUUACGGCACCACCGACUGAUAUGAAAAUGUCGCCAAGUGUCAUUCCUAACGGAGAGAAUCACAGCACCUUUGCAAAUGCACAACAAGAAUAUGCUGUACAAGAUGUUACUUCUGAGAUGGGAAGUGAGCCUGCUGCUGAAAUCCAUGUGGCAGUAGCUACUACUGAUUAUGUACCGUCAGUGACCUUUGCUAAUGCACAACAAGAAUAUCCAGAUAAUGAGGCAAAAGAUAUAGAUAGCACCGAUGACCCAAAGUAUUUUGUUAGGAAAGAUGGUCUCAUCAACAACAUGGAAAGUUUUAAAGAAGAGAUGGAAGGAGUGAUGGCUUGA